rnacentral:rRNA from 1 species
GAUGAACGCUGGCGGCGUGCUUAACACAUGCAAGUCGAACGGAAAGGCCGAAGCUUGCUUCGGUACUCGAGUGGCGAACGGGUGAGUAACACGUGGGUGAUCUGCCCUGUACUUCGGGAUAAGCUUGGGAAACUGGGUCUAAUACCGGAUAUGACGAUCUCUUGGAUGGGGUUGUGGAAAGCUUUUGUGGUAUGGGAUGAGCUCGCGGCCUAUCAGCUUGUUGGUGGGGUAAUGGCCUACCAAGGCGUCGACGGGUAGCCGGCCUGAGAGGGUGUACGGCCACAUUGGGACUGAGAUACGGCCCAGACUCCUACGGGAGGCAGCAGUGGGGAAUAUUGCACAAUGGGCGCAAGCCUGAUGCAGCGACGCCGCGUGGGGGAUGACGGCCUUCGGGUUGUAAACUCCUUUCGCAAUCGACGAAGCCUUUUGGUGACGGUAGGUUGAGAAGAAGCACCGGCUAACUACGUG